rnacentral:rRNA from 1 species
UGCUCUAGAGUUUGAUUCAGGCUCAGAUUGAUCCCUGCCGUCAGUCCUUAUCCCUUUUCAAGUCGAACGGUAACAGGAAGCAGAUUUAUGAUUCGCUGACGAGUGACGAACGGGUGAGUAAUCUCUGGGAAACUGCGUGAUGGAGGGGGAUAACUACUGGAAACGGUAGAUAAUACCGCAUAACGUCGCAAGGCCAAWGAGGGGGACCUUCGGGCCUCUUCCCAUCGGAUGUGCCCAGAUGGGAUUAGUUAGUCGGUGGGGUAACGGUUCACCAAGGCGCCGAUCCUUACCUGCUCUGAGAGGAUGUCCACCCCCACUGGAAUUGAGCCACGGUCCAGAUUCCUCCGGGAGCCACCAGUGGGGAAUAUUGCCCAAUGGGCGCAAUCCUGAUGCACCCAUCCCGCGUGUAUGAAGAAGUCUUUCGGUUUGUAAAGUCCUUUCAGCGGGGAGGAAGGGAGUAAAGUUAAUUCCUUUUCUCAUUGCCGUUUCUCGCCGAAGAAGCACCGGCUAAUUCCGUGCCACCAGCCCCGGUAAUACGGAGGGUCCAAGCGUUAAUCGGAAUUUUUGGGCGUAAAGCGCACCCAGGCGGUUUGUUAAUUCAGAUGUGAAAUCCCCGGGUUCACCCUGGGAGCUCCAUGUGAUACUGGCAAGCUUGAGUCUGGUAGAGGGGGGUAGAAUUCCAGGGGUACCGGUGAAAUGCGUAGAAUUCUGGAGGAAUACCGGUGGCGAAGGCGGCCUCCUGUCCGAAGCCUGACGCUCAGGUGCGAAAGCGGGGGAGCAACCAGGAUUAGAUACCCUGGUAGUCCACGCCGUAAACGAUGUCGACUAGGAGGUUGGCCCUUGAGGCGUCGCUUCCGCAGCUAACGCGUAAGUCGUCCGCCUGGGAAACCC